UAGGGAAUCUUCCGCAAUGGACGAAAGUCUGACGGAGCAACGCCGCGUGAGUGAAGAAGGAUUUCGGUUCGUAAAACUCUGUUGUUAGGGAAGAAAAAAUGUAUAGUAACUAUAUACAAAAGAGACGGUACCUAACCAGAAAGCCACGGCUAACUACGUGCCAGCAGCCGCGGUAAUACGUAGGUGGCAAGCGUUGUCCGGAAUUAUUGGGCGUAAAGCGCGCGCAGGUGGUUUAGAAAGUCUGGUGUGAAAGCCCACGGCUCAACCGUGGAGGGUCAUUGGAAACUAAUAAACUUGAGUGCAGGAGAGAAAAGUGGAAUUCCUAGUGUAGCGGUGAAAUGCGUAGAGAUUAGGAGGAACACCGGUGGCGAAAGCGGCUUUUUGGCCUGCAACUGACACUGAGGGGCGAAAGCGUGGGGAGCAAACAGG
rnacentral:rRNA from 1 species